AUGAACGCUAGCGGCAGGCCUAACACAUGCAAGUCGAGGGGGAAGUUACUUUCGGGUGACUGAGACCGGCGUACGGGUGCGUAACGCGUAUACAAUCUGCCUUUCACUGGGGGAUAGCCCGAAGAAAUUUGGAUUAAUACCCCAUAGUAUAUAGGGACGGCAUCGUUUUUAUAUUAAAGCUUAGGUGGUGAAAGAUGAGUAUGCGUUCUAUUAGCUAGUUGGAGAGGUAACGGCUCCCCAAGGCGAUGAUAGAUAGGGGUUCUGAGAGGGAUGUCCCCCACACUGGUACUGAGAUACGGACCAGACUCCUACGGGAGGCAGCAGUGAGGAAUAUUGGACAAUGGUCGGAAGACUGAUCCAGCCAUGCCGCGUGCAGGAUGAAGGUCUUAUGGAUUGUGAACUGCUUUUGUAAGGGAAGAAUAAGGGCUACGCGUAGUUUGAUGACGGUACCUUACGAAUAAGCAUCGGCUAACUCCGUG
rnacentral:rRNA from 1 species